rnacentral:rRNA from 1 species
ACGGGUGAGUAACGCGUAUGACAACCUACCUAUCGAGACGGGGAAUAACCCGGCGAAAGUCGGACUAAUACCGCAUAAAACAGGGGCACCGCAUGGUGAUAUUUGUUAAAGAAUUCGCUGAUAGAUGGGCAUGCGUUCCAUUAGGUAGUUGGUGAGGUAACGGCUCACCAAGCCGACGAUGGAUAGGGGAACUGAGAGGUUGGUCCCCCACACUGGUACUGAGACACGGACCAGACUCCUACGGGAGGCAGCAGUGAGGAAUAUUGGUCAAUGGGCGGGAGCCUGAACCAGCCAAGUCGCGUGAAAAGGAAGAAGGAUCUAUGGUUCGUAAACUUCUUUUGCAGGGGAAUAAAGUGCAGGACGUGUCCUGUUUUGUAUGUACCCUGAGAAUAAGGAUCGGCUAACUCCGUGCCAGCCGCAGC